rnacentral:rRNA from 1 species
CGGGUGAGUAAUGCGUGACCAACCUGCCCCAUGCUCCAGAAUAGCUCUUGGAAACGGGUGGUAAUGCUGGAUGCUCCAACUUGACGCAUGUCUUGUUGGGAAAGUGUUUAGUGGCAUGGGAUGGGGUCGCGUCCUAUCAGCUUGUAGGCGGGGUAAUGGCCCACCUAGGCUUCGACGGGUAGCCGGCCUGAGAGGGCGGACGGCCACAUUGGGACUGAGAUACGGCCCAGACUCCUACAGGAGGCAGCAGCG